GGGUUCACUCCUGGAUGUUACCGGUUCAUCCGAUCGAAAUCGGACGUCGUUUUGGUGUCUGAUUCGGUAAAGAAUCGGGAGCACCAUCUGCGUAGGCUUUCGUGUUUAAGGCUUGCGCCGCCUACGGUCUUGGAUAGCCCCCGCCAGGCAGGGACCCCAAUACCUGCGCAGCGGGCAAGCC
rnacentral:sRNA from 1 species